rnacentral:rRNA from 1 species
GACAGAGGGUGCAAACGUUGUUCGGAAUUACUGGGCGUAAAGCGAGUGUAGGCGGCUCGAUAAGUCUGCUGUGAAAGUCCAGGGCUCAACCCUGGGAUGCCGGUGGAUACUGUCGAGCUCGAGUCCGGAAGAGGCGAGUGGAAUUCCUGGUGUAGCGGUGAAAUGCGUAGAUAUCAGGAGGAACACCUGUGGCGAAAGCGGCUCACUGGACCAUAACUGACGCUGAUGCACGAAAGCUAGGGGAGCAAACAGG